AUACGGAGGAUGCGAGCGUUAUCCGGAUUUAUUGGGUUUAAAGGGAGCGUAGGUGGGAUAUUAAGUCAGCUGUGAAAGUUUGGGGCUCAACCCUAAAAUUGCAGUUGAUACUGGUUUCCUUGAGUACGGUAUAGGUGGGCGGAAUUCGUGGUGUAGCGGUGAAAUGCUUAGAUAUCACGAAGAACUCCGAUCGCGAAGGCAGCUCACCGGGCCGGAACUGACACUGAUGCUCGAAAGUGCGGGUAUCAAACAGGAUUAGAUACCCUGGUAGUCCGCACAGUAAACGAUGAAUACUCGCUGUUUGCGAUACACUGUAAGCGGCCAAGCGAAAGCGUUAAGUAUUCCACCUGGGGAGUACGCCGGCAACGGUGAAACUCAAAUGAAUUGGCGGGG
rnacentral:rRNA from 1 species